rnacentral:rRNA from 1 species
AUUGCAGGCUGCAACUCGCCUGCAUGAAGUUGGAAUUGCUAGUAAUCGCGAAUCAGAAUGUCGCGGUGAAUACGUUCCCGGGCCUUGUACACACCGCCCGCCACACCAUGAGAGCCGAUAACACCGAAGCCUGUGAGCUAACCGUAAGGGGCAGCAGUCGAAGGUGGGGUUGGUGAUUGGGGUGAAGUCGUAACAAGGUACC